GUGUCAGCCGCCGCGGUAAGACAGAGGGGGCAAGCGUUGUCCGGAUUUACUGGGCGUACAGCGCGCGCAGGCGGCCGCUGAUGUGCCGGGUGACAGCCCACCGCUCAACGGCGGGUGGUCCCGGUAGACACGGGGGCUGGAGGCAGGGAGAGGGCGGUGGAAUACCCGGUGGAGCGGUGAUAUGCGUAGAGAUCGGGUGGAACACCAGCGGCGAAGGCGGCCGCCUGGCCCUGGCCUGACGCUGAGGCGCGAGAGCGUGGGGAGCGAACCGGAUUAGAAACCCUCGUAGUCC
rnacentral:rRNA from 1 species